rnacentral:rRNA from 1 species
UCGUCACACUAUCAUUAACUGAAUCCAUAGGUUAAUGAGGCGAACCGGGGGAACUGAAACAUCUAAGUACCCCGAGGAAAAGAAAUCAACCGAGAUUCCCCCAGUAGCGGCGAGCGAACGGGGAGGAGCCCAGAGCCUGAAUCAGCAUGUGUGUUAGUGGAAGCGUCUGGAAAGGCGCGCGAUACAGGGUGACAGCCCCGUACACAAAAGCGCAUGUGCUGUGAGCUCGAUGAGUAGGGCGGGACACGUGGUAUCCUGUCUGAAUAUGGGGGGACCAUCCUCCAAGGCUAAAUACUCCUGACUGACCGAUAGUGAACCAGUACCGUGAGGGAAAGGCGAAAAGAACCCCGGCGAGGGGAGUGAAAAAGAACCUGAAACCGUGUACGUACAAGCAGUGGGAGCACAGGUUUACCUGUGUGACUGCGUACCUUUUGUAUAAUGGGUCAGCGACUUAUAUUCUGUAGCAAGGUUAACCGAAUAGGGGAGCCGGAGGGAAACCGAGUCUUAAUUGGGCGUUAAGUUGCAGGGUAUAGACCCGAAACCCGGUGAUCUAGCCAUGGGCAGGUUGAAGGUUGGGUAACACUAACUGGAGGACCGAACCGACUAAUGUUGAAAAAUUAGCGGAUGACCUGUGGCUGGGGGUGAAAGGCCAAUCAAACCGGGAGAUAGCUGGUUCUCCCCGAAAGCUAUUUAGGUAGCGCCUCGUGAAUUCAUCUCCGGGGGUAGAGCACUGUUUCGGCUAGGGGGCCAUCCCGGCUUACCAACCCGAUGCAAACUGCGAAUACCGGAGAAUGUUAUCACGGGAGACACACGGCGGGUGCUAACGUCCGUCGUGAAGAGGGAAACAACCCAGACCGCCAGCUAAGGUCCCAAAGUCAUGGUUAAGUGGGAAACGAUGUGGGAAGGCCCAGACAGCCAGGAUGUUGGCUUAGAAGCAGCCAUCAUUUAAAGAAAGCGUAAUAGCUCACUGGUCGAGUCGGCCUGCGCGGAAGAUGUAACGGGGCUAAACCAUGCACCGAAGCUGCGGCAGCGACACUCAGGUGUUGUUGGGUAGGGGAGCGUUCUGUAAGCCUGCGAAGGUGGCCUGUGAGG